rnacentral:rRNA from 1 species
AUGAACGCUAGCUACAGGCUUAACACAUGCAAGUCGUGGGGCAGCAUGGGAGAUGCUUGCAUUUCCUGAUGGCGACCGGCGCACGGGUGAGUAACGCGUAUCCAACCUGCCCUUUACUCCGGCACAGCCCGUCGAAAGGCGGAUUAAUGCGGGAUGCAGUCAGAGAGAUGCAUAUAUGUCUGACGAAAGGAUUCGUCCGGUAAGGGAUGGGGAUGCGUCCGAUUAGCUUGACGGCGGGGUAACGGCCCACCGUGGCUACGAUCGGUAGGGGUUCUGAGAGGAAGGUCCCCCACAUUGGAACUGAGACACGGUCCAAACUCCUACGGGAGGCAGCAGUGAGGAAUAUUGGUCAAUGGGCGAGGGCCUGAACCAGCCAAGUAGCGUGCAGGAAGACGGCCCUAUGGGUUGUAAACUGCUUUUGUACGGGAAUAAAGUUGGCCACGCGUGGCCAUUUGCAUGUACCGUACGAAUAAGGACCGGCUAAUUCCGUGCCAGCAGCCGCGGUAAUACGGAAGGUCCGGGCGUUAUCCGGAUUUAUUGGGUUUAAAGGGAGCGUAGGCCGUCUCAAAAGCGUGUUGUGAAAUGUCCCGGCUCAACCGGGGAUGUGCAGCGCGAACUGUGAGACUUGAGUGUGCGGAAGGUAUGCGGAAUUCGUGGUGUAGCGGUGAAAUGCAUAGAUAUCACGAAGAACUCCGAUUGCGAAGGCAGCAUGCCGCAGCACCACUGACGCUGAUGCUCGAAGGUGCGGGUAUCGAACAGGAUUAGAUACCCUGGUAGUCCACACUGUAAACGAUGAUUACCAGGUGUUGGAGGAUUGACCCCUUCAGUGCCGCAGUUAACACAAUAAGUAAUCCACCUGGGGAGUACGACCGCAAGGUUGAAACUCAAAGGAAUUGACGGGGGCCCGCACAAGCGGAGGAACAUGUUGUUUAAUUCGAUGAUACGCGAGGAACCUUACCCGGGCUUGAAGUGCAGGUGCAUGGACAAGAGAUUGUCCUUUCCUUCGGGACUCCUGUGAAGGUGCUGCAUGGUUGUCGUCAGCUCGUGCCGUGAGGUGUCGGCUUAAGUGCCAUAACGAGCGCAACCCCUCUCCGUAGUUGCCAUCGGUUCGGCCGGGCACUCUGCGGACACUGCCUCCGCAAGGAGUGAGGAAGGUGGGGAUGACGUCAAAUCAGCACGGCCCUUACGUCCGGGGCUACACACGUGUUACAAUGGGGCAUACAGAGAGCAGGGUGUACGCAAGUGCAUUCAAAUCAAGAAAGUGCCUCUCAGUUCGGACUGGGGUCUGCAACCCGACCCCACGAAGCUGGAUUCGCUAGUAAUCGCGCAUCAGCCAUGGCGCGGUGAAUACGUUCCCGGGCCUUGUACACACCGCCCGUCAAGCCAUGAAAGCCGGGGGCGCCUGAAGUCCGUGACCGCGAGGGUCGGCCUAGGGUGAAACCGGUGAUUGGGGCU